GUAUCUCUGACAGAAAUGUACCUAUCUUUUUUUCAUUCAGAGAACAGAAGCAAAACAGAUCGAUCAACUCAAGCUAUUGCUUAUGAUGAUUCAUCCAGCCACACAAGUUUUAAAGGCCAUUACAAACAUCUCUGCAAUCUACUCCUCUGUAUCAUAUGGAUGACAGAGAAUCAGACCAAGCAAAACUCCCAUUAAAGUAAAUGAAAAUUGCGCCUGUGUAAAGGGUAAGUGAAAACAAUUGUCUUUUGGUUCAAGAGCUCAGGAACAAUGUCAGGGAGAAAGGAUAUGACC
rnacentral:lncRNA from 1 species